AUUGAACGCUGGCGGCAGGCCUAACACAUGCAAGUCGAACGAGUGGCGGACGGGUGAGUAAUGUCUGGGAAACUGCCUGAUGGAGGGGGAUAACUACUGGAAACGGUAGCUCAUACCGCAUACCAUCAGAUGUGCCCAGAUGGGAUGAGCUUGUUGGUGGGGUAACGGCUCACCAAGGCGACGAUCCCUAGCUGGUCUGAGAGGAUGAACCGCGACGAGGGAAUUGGGACACGGUAAAGACUCCGACGGAAGGCAGCGGUGGGGAAUAUUGCACAAUGUGCGCAAUCCUGAUGCAGCCAUGCCGGGUGUAUGAAGAAGGCCUUCGGGUUGUAAAGUACUUUCAGCGGGGAGGCGUUACCCGCAGAAGAAGCACCGGCUAACGCCGUGCCAGCAGCCGCGGUAAUUC
rnacentral:rRNA from 1 species